GACGAACGCUGGCGGCGUGCCUAAUACAUGCAAGUAGAACGCUGAAGGAGGAGCUUGCUUCUCUGGAUGAGUUGCGAACGGGUGAGUAACGCGUAGGUAACCUGCCUGGUAGCGGGGGAUAACUAUUGGAAACGAUAGCUAAUACCGCAUAAGAGUAGAUGUCGCAUGACAUUUGCUUAAAAGGUGCAAUUGCAUCACUACCAGAUGGACCUGCGUUGUAUUGGCUAGUUGGUGAGGUAACGGCUCACCAAGGCAACGAUACAUAGCCGACCUGAGAGGGUGAUCGGCCACACUGGGACUGAGACACGGCCCAGACUCCUACGGGAGGCAGCAGUAGGGAAUCUUCGGCAAUGGACGGAAGUCUGACCGAGCAACGCCGCGUGAGUGAAGAAGGUUUUCGGAUCGUAAAGCUCUGUUGUAAGAGAAGAACGAGUGUGAGAGUGGAAAGUUCACACUGUGACGGUAUCUGAACAGAAAGGGACGGCUAACUACGUG
rnacentral:rRNA from 1 species